CUGUGCGGUCCCUUCUGGGUGAGGGUGGCGGGUGCGGGUGGGGUUCGCACUCCGGGAGCCUGGGCCGGGGUCUCGGUGCUGUUGUUCUGCUGUGUUUGUCUGUUAAAGGGUCUGUGUGGACGCUGGACAUUGGUGACGUGACAUUCACAUGGAUCACGGCCUUUGCAGUGUUAUGUGGGGAGAGUUCCCUGUGGGAUCUGGUUGAGGAAGGUGAGCACCCACAUAUCACACACAUACCCAAAGCCACACACACACAGACACACAGAAACACACACACAUCACAAACACACACAGACACACACCACACAUACACACACAUCGCACAGAUGCACACAUCACACACGCACACACACAUUACACACAUAACACACACACAUAUCACACACAUAGCACAGAGAGACACACACAUCAAUCACACAUGCACAUGACACACAACACAGUGACACACACACACAUACACACACACACACAGAAACACGCACAAACAUACCACACACACACACAUCACACACAGACACAUCACACAGACACACAGCACAAACACACAGACACACACCACACACACAGACACACAAUCACACACACAGAUGCACAACACAUAGAAACACACUCAGACACACACGCGCACACAUAUCACACAUAUAACACACACACAGACACACGCACACACAUAACACACACAUACACACAUCAUACACAGAGACACACAUCAAUCACGCAUGCACACGGACACAGACACACAGAAACACACAUGCAGACAUAUCACACACAUACACAACACACACAGACAUAUCACACACACAGAAACACAUCACACACAUACACAUCAUACACAGACACACACAGAGACACAAACAGAAACAUGCACACACAUAUCACACAAAUCACACACAUCACAGACAAACACACACAGACACACAACACACACAUAUACACAUCACACACAGAGACACACACAUCAAUCACACAUACAGACAUACAACACAUAGAUUCACACACUCAGACACACAAAAACACACAUUACACACACAAUACACACAGACACAGGCACACACAUCUCAAACACACACAUCAAUUACACAUGCACACAGACACACACAACAGAGACACACACAUCACACACAGACACACACACAUACACACAUCACACACACAUCACACAACACACACAGACACACACAGACACAUCACACACAGACACACAUACACACAUCACGCACACGGACACAUCACACACAUAUCUCACACACACCACACACACACACAGCACACACACAUAUCUCACACACACCACACACAGACACAUUACACACACACCACACACACAGAGACAUAUCACACACACAGGCACAUCACACGCUCACAUGCACAUAUCAUACACACAUACACUCACAUUCACACAGCACACACAGACACAUCACACACGCACAUAUCACACACGCACAUGCACAUAUCACACACAGACACAUCACACACACGCACGUAUCACACACAGCACACACUCACAUCACACACACACGCGCACACACAGACACAUCACACACUCAGCACACUCACAUAUCACACACACACAGACACAUCACACAUGCACAUAUCACACGCACAUAUCACACACUCACACACACAGAGAUACACAGACACACACGCACACAUCACACACACAGAGAGACACAUCACACACGCACAUAUCACACACACACACGCAUGCACAUAUCACACACGCAUGCAUGGACGCAGAUAUCACACACAAGCACAUAUCACACACGCACAUAUCACACACGCACACACGCAUGCACAUAUCACACACGCAUGCAUGGACGCACAUAUCACACACACGCACUCACACACACUCACACAGGCGCACACACAUCACACACACACACACACACAUAUCACACACAUGCGUGCAUGCACGCACAUAUCACACACGCACUCACACACACACACACACACACACACACGGGCACACUCACACACACACGCACUCACACUCACACGCACUCACACACACGGGCACACUCACACACACACACACACACACGCGCACACACACACACAGACACACAAGCACACACGGGUUCGUGAGUGAGUGAGUAAGCCUGUGUGGUUUGAGGCUCCUGCAGACCCUGAUGGCCUCACCAGUGAUUCCCUGUGAACUAAGUCCCCGAAGCCCAACCCAGAAGCUGGGGUCAGAGGGCACCAGGCGUUGGC
ensembl:lncRNA